UACGUAGGCAGCGAGCGUUGUUCGGGAUGUACUGGGCGUAAAGCGUGCGUAGGCGGUGUCUUAAGUUUGUUGUGAAAUCUCCCGGCUUAACCGGGAGGGUGCGGCGAAUACUGAGAUGCUGGAGUGCCGGAGAGGUAAGCGGAAUUCCUGGUGUAGCGGUGAAAUGCGUAGAUAUCAGGAGGAACACCUGCGGUGUAGACGGCUUACUGGACGGUAACUGACGCUGAGGCACGAAAGCGUGGGUAGCAAACAGG
rnacentral:rRNA from 1 species